GAUCAGUAAUGGACUUAAGGUAGGCCAACAUCAAAUGUUCAAAGGUUUUCAUACCUACUGAAGUCAGAGUGAAUGGCUAUAAUCAUUAAGUCCAGAGAUAAUAAUUGCAGGGAGGUGUUAACUAUCUCAAAGAUGACAGGUGCUAGCUGAUCCGCACAGUGCCUAGGAGAACCAGGCCAUCAGCAAGUCUUCCCCUUCAACGAUCCAGUCACCCAUCACUUGGCUUGCAAUAGGUGAAUGGGAGCGUGGAGUGAAAGCAGUGCCUGGCAACAUGAUCCAACUGUAGCUUUCAGGCCCAACUCCAACAAUGAUUAUUGACAUCGGAAAACAAGCGGCCUUAGAAGAUGAAGAAAAGCAUUAAAUUGGAACGAAGAAAGAAUCAUUGAGACUUUCCUAUGUUUUGAAAGGGUUCUUUUGAAGACCCUGAGCUGGAGUUACACUCUGACUUCAGUUCUUUGUGGGAAUGGGACCCGCCCUCAGGGCCUCACGACCGACCGCGUUUCGAUAAGCCAAGGGUGCGGCCUGGAAAACGAGCGCGCCUUCACGGUGGUGGAUUUUCAUGGCUCUGGAGGCGGGCGGUUUUGAGGUCAGUGCCACCACCCGAUGAGUCGUGGGAGAUCGAAAGCAGCGAGCUGGCUGCCGGCUGUGUGCCCAGAGCUCAGAGAAAGCAAUGCAACAGACUCUUGACACAAUAAAUCGGUGAGUUGUUUUGUUAUGUCUCCCCUCUUGCCGUGAAACAGGGACACCUCUUUUUCCCUUAUUAGGGACAGAGAGAGAACCUGUGGUGUGUCGAAUUCCUGGAUGAACGAGUAAUCUUUGGGGUACUGCAAGUCCCUGUCUGUACUGAUGCUUUGCUGCAUGCUUGAGUGCUCGGUGGAGGGUGCUGAUGCUUUUUGGCUGGUGGGGGAGGGGAAGGUCGUCGCUUUGCUGCUGCUGAUGCGUGGAGGGGAUCUUCGGGUUCUAACAUUUAACUGUCAUUCAUUCUUGGGGGGCACUCCUCUGUUUUCAUGGGUGCUUCCAAAGAAAAACAAUCUCAGGAUGUAUAUUGUAUACAUUUUUCUGACAUUAAAUGUACCUAUUGAAGUGGCCACUUUAUUAGGUACAUCUGUAUAUUGAUGCACAUAUUGAAUUAGCCAAUCGUACAGCAGCUUUCAAUGCAUAAAGCAUGCAAACAUGGUCAAGAGGUUCAGUUUUUGUUCAGACCAAACAUCAGAAUGGAGAAUAAUUGCUGGUGCCAGACAGUGGUUUCAGUAGCUCAGAAACAGCUGAUCCCUGGGAUUUUCACACACAACAGUCUCUCAACCUUACAGAGAAUGGCGUGAUAAACAAAAAAAAAAUCUAGUGAGUGGAAGUUGUGUGUGAAAUGCCUUGAUAAUGAAAGAGGUCAAAAGAGAAUGGCCAAACUGAUUUAACGCAGACAGGAAGGCGACAGUAACUCAAAUAAUCAUGCAUUGUUACAACAGUGGCAUGCAGAAGAGCAUCUCUGAAUGCACAGAACAUAGAACAUUGAAGUGUAUGGGCUACAGCAGCAGAAGACCACAGACAUGCACUCAGCGGCCAGGAGUUACCUAAUGAAGUGGCCUCUGAAUGUAUCUGUAGCAGCCCUUGGGAUUCUUCUUCAUCCUGUCUGCCAGAGCAACAUUAUGCAUUCUUUUAACCCUCCUGAUUUCCUCCUACAACACACACAAAGUGCUGGUGGAUCACAGCAGGUCAGGCAGCAUCUACAGGGAGAAGCGCUGUCGACGUUUCGGGCCAAGACCCUUCGUCAGGACAUCAGCAUCUGCAGAUUUCCUCCUAAGUGCUUUCUUGCAUUUUAUAUAUUCCUCAUGCAGGUACCUCAUUUGUUCCUUGCUGCCUAUAUCUCAUUUUUCAUUAACCAUGGCUUCAAUACCCCUGAUAAAUCAAGUUUCCGCAAACCUAUCAGCCUUGCCUUUUACUCUAACAGGAACAUAUAAAUUCUGUACUCUCAAAAUUUCAAGAUUUGAAGGCCUCCACUUAGCAUCCCUUUGCCCAAAAACAACCUAACGUAAUCCAUAUCUGCCAGAUCUGAUGCCUUUAUCCAAUUUAGAAUCUCAACCCGAGGAUUAGUCCUAUCCAUAUCUAUUUUGAAGCUAAUGGAAUUAUGAUCACUAGAACCAAAGUGUUCUUGUACACACACUUGUCACCUGACCUAACUCAAUCCAUAAUAUGAAAUCCAGUAUCACCUCUAUUAAUUAAGGAAACUUUCCAAAACACACUUGACAAGCACUAUUCCGUCCAUUUUUACAGUGUUGGAGUCAAGUUAAGACCACCUACUAUCACAACCUUAUUUUUCUUACAGCUGUCUGCUAUGUCUCCACAAAUCUGCCCUUCUAAAUUCCACUGACUAUUUAUAUCUGUCCCUGACAAUCACUGUUAAAAAAGCAUUUCCUGGCCUUUGGCAGUGAGCAUUCUCAGGAAACUACACCAAGAACGAUUCACUACUUUGUGACAGGCUCACCUCUGUACAUACAUUCAGAAAAAAGAACGGGUAGGUAGAGAUAAUGAGCCAACAAGAAUAUCUGACCCAUUUCCUUGUGCCAUUUAUACAAAGGAUUAAUACGCCUUUAAAACAAAUAGAUGAAGUGCUUAUACAUCUCACCGUACUUGCAUUUUUAAGAUUGAUUGACCAAAAGAAAAUAAAAAUGAUUGGUAAUGAAAAAUGAGCUGGUCCUCCUUCUAAUGAUUAUCAAACAUAAGGCUGUAUUAAAGGUAGUCCUCCUCUGUCAGGCACUUGGCAUCAGUCCUAGGCAUAUCUAGGUCAGGUACCUCACAGCCAGAGGCAGAAUAUUCCGCAGCAACAAUAUGCAUAGAUUUCAAACAAGUUAAAACAUGUUCCUGCAACAGGAUGACAUUUUGUCCAUUUCCCACAUCAAUCAGACCAUCAGUGCUCCAGGGACAAUCUUGAUUUGGCAAAUUACACAAGCCUGUAUAAUUGAUUUAAAUCAUUUUAAGUUUUUUACAAAUUUUAAUUGUACAUACUUUUGAAAUACCAUUCAUUUUUCAUCACCUGUCCAAUGGCAAAGUGGAAUCUGAAAAUGCGACCUUCUCUCAUUCGAUAUUCACUAGAUUAAAACUGCUUUGGGAAAUUAUUAAGCAGAAGUUUGUACUCAUUAUGUUAGAAGGGUCCAUUCAUUCCUUCAGGCUCCUGGCACAAAUAAUCUCAAACAUGCCAUUACUGGGCUUUUUUGUCUCUCUGUUGAGGAUCCGAUCUUGGGACCAAGAUUUGCAUUUUAAUGAGGGUUCGCUGACUGUAAUUCUAAGGUGGUGUAGACACCCACCAGUCAGACCCUAUUAAAACUGCCCUGUGUUAACAGAGCAUUACUGACCUCAAUUUGAGUCUAUUAUUGUGCCAUAAGCAAUGAACACAGCAAAUUGAAAGCAACCCUACAUCAGAGUGGUUAACCUGCUCUAUUUAUAAUUUCAAACCAUUGUUAUUAGCUUUAAAUUAAUUAUCAAAAUGCUUUCUGCUACUGGGAAAAUGUCAUGUAGCUUUUUAAAUUGCUAAAAAUAAGACAUAAGAGUGUAAAAAUAAUUUUCUGACAUGGUAUCUGAAGCCAAUAGCACUGAGAAUAACAAUGAAACUA